rnacentral:rRNA from 1 species
GGAUUCUGGGCGUAAGCGCGCGUAGGUGGUUUGUUAAGUUGAAUGUGAAAUCCCCGGGCUCAACCUGGGAACUGCAUCCAAAACUGNCAAGCUAGAGUAUGGUAGAGGGUGGUGGAAUUUCCUGUGUAGCGGUGAAAUGCGUAUAUAUAGGAAGGAACACCAGUGGCGAAGGCGACCACCUGGACUGAUACUGACACUGAGGUGCGAAAGCGUGGGGAGCAAACAGGAUUAGAUACCNUGGGUAGNCCAG